ACUUAUGCAGUUGUAUUUUCUUUCUAACAGCUUGGUGGCAGCAGCGGGAUUGGAAGGAGACUUCUCAUGGCUUCGGGGAUGAGAAACACAAGCAUUGGUACCCAUGAAGCCUUUGGAUUCUCCGUCUUUUUUGCUGUCUCUGAGGGCUGUGGGCCGAUGUCGAUGAGUUCUGAGGAAAUGCUGAAGGCACAGUGUGGAGGAAUUCUGGGACCCUGCGUGACUACUUGGAAGAGUGCUGUCCCCUCCACCUGAACAACCACCCGGCACUACCAGAAAUGAGAGGCGUCCUGUGAUCGUGGAUUGGAAGCCUCCUUGUUGUUAAGAUGUCAGCUUCCUCCAAAGACAUGAGCCAAUUAAAUGCAGUCCUUAUCAAAAUCCCAAUGACAUUUUGUGCUGAAAGACACCCAUCCUAAAAUUCAUAUGGAAUCUCAAGUAUGCCCAGAUGUCUAAAAUAGUCUUGAAAGGAAGUACUAAGUUGGAGGACUCUCUUUUUACUGAUGUAAAACUUGCUACAAACCUACAAUAUCAAAACAGCUUUGUAAUGGCAUAAAGACAGACACAUAGAGCAUCGGAACUGAAUAGAGAGCCCAGAAAUAAGGUGGCCAAGGUUGUUCAACGGGGAAAAGACAGUCUUUUCAACCAGUGGUUCCUGAAAAAGUGGAUAUCUUCAUGCAAAAAAAUAAACUUGGAUUCUGACCUCACACCACAUAUAAAACUUAAUUCUCAAUGGAUCAAGACCCAAAUGUAAGAACUGAAACUCUUUUAGGAAAACAUGGGACAAAACGUUUCACAAUAGGACUUGGCAAUGAUUUCAUAGAUAUAACACUCAAGGCAUGGGCAAUAAAAAACAGAGUACACACACCAAAAUUCAUGAAUAUUAAAAACCUUUCUGCCUCUGAAGACAAUAUCAACAGAGUGAAAACACAACCCAUGCAGCCUGGGAGACCAUAUUUGCAAAUGAUCUAUCAGACAAGGGCUGAAUAUCCAGAAUAGACAUAGAACUUCUCAACUCAGCAACAACAAAACAAACGACCCAAAUCAAAAAUGAGCAAAGUACUUGAAUAGACUUUUCCUCCAAGAAGAUACGCAAAUGGUCAACAA